rnacentral:rRNA from 1 species
UACGGGGGGGGUAAGCGUUGUUCGGAAUUACUGGGCGUAAAGGGCUCGUAGGCGGCCAACUAAGUCAGACGUGAAAUCCCUCAGCUUAACUGGGGAACUGCGUCUGAUACUGGAUGGCUUGGAUUCGGGAGAGGAAUGCGGAAUUCCAGGUGUAGCGGUGAAAUGCGUAGAUAUCUGGAGGAACACCGGUGGCGAAGGCGGCAUCCUGGACCGACAUUGACGCUGAGGAGCGAAAGCCAGGGGAGCAAACGGG